CGAUCGAUGUAAUUUUGGUGCCGUGGGGUAGUAUUCAUGAUUCAGAUUGAUAUUUAUAUGUAUGUGGGUAUCAGGUUUUGCGGGUCCAUGGUUUCCAAUAGAUGCAAACAUCUACUGUUAAUUACCCCUUGUAGAUUGGGGCACCUUCGAUUAAGAGACCUUUAUAGAUAGGAUUGAAUGAAUCAUAUCUUGGUUUAUUGAAUCCUAAGUAUAUAUAUUAGGAUUCAGUUGGAUUUGAGGUUGAUUAGGCCCUAAGGAUAUGUGUUAAGACCUAAUCGACAUUAAACUCUAUGUAUUAGAGUCUAAUUGGUUCAUGAGACAUGGGUAUGAGAUCUGGGUAUUGGUUCAUGAGGUUUCGUUUUGGCUCAUGGGAUUUGGUCCAUGAGAUUUGGUUGGUUCAUGGGAUUUGGUCCAUGAGAUUUGGUUUCGGCUCAUGGGAUUUGGUCCAUGAGGUUUGGUUUUGGUUCAUGGGAUUUGGUCCAUGAGGUUUGAUUUUGGUUCAUGGAAUUUGGUCCAUGAGGUUUGGUUUUGGUUCAUGAGAUUUGGUCCAUGAGAUUUAGCUGUGGUUCAUGGGAUUUGGACCAUGAGGUUUAGUUGUGGCUCAUGGGAUUUGGUCAAUGAGGUUUGGUUUUGGCUCAUGGGAUUUGGUCCAUGAGAUUUGGUUUUGGUUCAUGGGAUUUGGUCCAUGAGAUUUGAUUUUGGUUCAUGGGAUUUGGUCCAUUAGAUUUGGUUAUGGUUCAUGGGAUUUGAUCCAUGAGAUUUGAUUUUGGUUCAUGGGAUUUGGUCUAUGAGAUUUGGUUUUGGUUCAUGGGAUUUGGUCCAUGAGUUUUGGUUUUGGUUCAUAGGAUUUGGUCCAUGAGAUUUAGUUCUGUUUCAUGGGAUUUGGUCCAUGAGAUUUGGUUCUGUUUCAUGGGAUUUGGUCCAUGAGUUUUGGUUUUGGUUCAUGGGAUUUGGUCCAUGAACUUGGUUUUGGCUCAUGGGAUUUGGUCCAUGAGAUUUGGUUUUAGUUCAUGGGAUUUGGUCCAUGAGGUUUGGUUGGUUCAUGGGAUUUGGUCCAUGAGGUUUGGUUUUGGCUCAUGGGAUUUGGUCCAUGAGGUUUGGUUUUGGCUCAUGGGAUUUGGUCCAUGAGAUUUGGUUUUGGUUCUAUGUGUGGACUUGGUUUGGGUUUGGAUUUAUUUGGGUCCAAGUUUGGGUUUAUUUGGGUUUUGGGUUUAGGUUUAUUUGGGUUUGGGUUUGGGUUUGAUUUUGGGUUCGGAUUUUAUUUGUAGACUUGAUUUGGAUUGGGUUUGCGUUUGAUUUGAGUUUGGGUUUUGGUUUUAUUUGGGGAAUGGGUUUGGGUUUUAUUUGUGGACUUGAUUUGCUUUGGAUUUGGAUUUUAUUUGGAUUUGGGU
rnacentral:lncRNA from 1 species